UAAGGGUUAGUUUAAGUAAAAUUGUUGAUUGUUGAUCAAAAGAUUAUCUCUUAA
rnacentral:tRNA from 1 species